GGGCAGGACUUCUCACCUGCCCCACAGUUACAUCUGAGAGGUUCGGGUUUCCUCCUGGUCUCACAGCGCGGUGACUCGGUGUACCUGCAGUGACGCUGCCUCCAUUUAGAGCACACGGGCACUAUUCGUGUUGGUGACUGAGGUUCUGUGGUAGGUCAGGGCCUUAAAGAAGAGAUAAGGGCUUAAAAUACCUUUUAUAGAUUCUGGCUGUUAAGCUGGCACAACCUGCAAGCCCCUGAUGUGUCGGGGCUGAGCUGUGAGGCUCUGGCCCUGUCCUUCGCUUCCUUUGAGCUCCCUUUGCCCUCGAACGUUCUCCUCCUUUUCCUGCUCUCUGUCAGUGCUGCUGUCAGUGAUAUGCUUGUUUCCUUUCUCCAGAGCAUAACAAAGGCAAUGUGAAUAACGGGAACUGAAGUUGAGUGUGGGGACAGAAAGCCUGUAGCACAAAGCGGGGACAAAAGGCAGCUUCCAGGGCAAUUUCCUAAAUUGCUGUAGAGAUUACGUUGCUAUGAUAUGCUGUUGAUCUAACGUGACUCCAAUUCAUAAACAUUUUGCUUGGAAAAAUAAAAGCUCGAAUGGUUUUGGGGUUGGGGAUGCAUUCUUAAACCCAACAAACACUGGCAUUCACUGCUUCCACAAAAUUUAGAAGUAGUGUUUAAGUCUUGUUCUUGUGGGACUCUUUAAGGCUGUAAGAGCCAGGCCUCGAGUUCUGCUCUGCCUUUUUGUUUCAGACUUUUUAGGGAAGGUAAAAGUGAAGCUCUGAAGUAUGUAAUACCUGAACAGAAAGAACAGAAGCAAGUGAUCCAGCUUGAAGUGACAUUUCCUAGUUAUCUAGAAAGUGGUGCAGGCUGAUCUUCUCACUACCACCUUUACACCUCUCAUUCCAGAUCACUUAGUCCAGAUUAAAGAGGAUGAUGGUGAGGGAGCAUUCCCAGGACUCCACUCCCACCAGGCACAGUGGAUGCUGAAGGUCCAACAUCUGCGUGAUGGAAAGGCAAGCCCCGACUGACCUUGCUUCCAAAGGUGAAUGUGAAGAACAGCAGGGUGAGAGCCAACGCUGGGCGCAUUGAAAGCACAACAUUGGGAAGCACUGAGGACCUCCUAUUUCCACUGAGUCCUUUUCCUUCCUCCAGCAAAACCUGGGGCUCGUCUCUGUCCCUGCACACCUGGACUCUUCUGUGAGCCCCUUCAGUAAGUCUCAUGCAGUGGAGAAAAGUCAUCCAAAAUUGCAGUUAUUAACAGUGCGUGGAAGGACUCUGAGGGACACGUUCCCCAAAUGCAUUAAGGGUCAGUUCUUGUUCACCAGUGGGUUGUAUGAAA